AAAGAAUUAGUUAAAAAAUAACAUAAAUAUGUCAAUUUUAAAUUAUUAUAUAUAUAUAUAAUAUUCUUUU
rnacentral:tRNA from 1 species